CGUCUUCUGUGCCUUGUCAUUCCCUUCGCUCUUACCGGGUAGUAGAUUGUGAGAUUAUUGCCUCCAUAGAUGCUGCGUGACUUGCUCAAAUCCCCCAGCAUUUUGUCUGUUUUGCUCUGGAUUUCCAGCAUCUGCAGAAUCACUCGUCUUUUUUUAAAUCGCACUUCAUCUACUUUAUGCUUUAUAAAAUAUCGAGAGGCAUAGACAGUUGCUAUCUUUUCAGAAACAGAAUUAGGUUUAUUAUUAGUCUUAUAGGAUAUACAUUUUAUGUUUUGUAAAAUUAUGACUGCUGGUAUUUUUUUCAGAAUCAAAUUUAUGACGUUUAAUUUGUUGUUUUGCAGCAGUAGUACAGUGCUAAGACAAAUUUGUAAUAUAAAACAAAUCAGUGCGCAACAAUAAUGAGGCAGUGUUCAUGGACGGGCCAGAAAUCGGAUGGCAGAGGGGAAGCUGUUCUUGAAUCGUUAUGAGGAGCUUCAGGCUCCUGUACCUCCUCCCUGAUGGUGGUAAUGAGAAGAGGGCAGGGCUUUUUCCCUAGGGUCGAAAUGAUUAAUACCAAAGACCAUGUGUAGGGAAAGGUUGAAUAGCUUAGGACUUUAUUCUGUAGAAUAUAAAGGGGAGAAUUGAUAGAGGUAUACAAAAUCACAUGGGUUAUAUAUAGUGGAAAUAAAAGCAGUUUUUCCCCCCACUGGGCAUUGGUGAAAGAUGAAAUAUUUAAGGGGAACCUGAGAGGGUGGAUGCACGUUUCAUUUCAACAUUUAAGAGAAGUUUGGAUAAAUAUAUGGAUGGGAGGGGUAUGGAAAACUAUAUUCUGGGUGCAGAUCAAUGGGAUGAAGCAGUUUUAUUUGGACUUGAUAGGCUGAAUGGCCUAUCACUGGACCAUGCUGGCAGUUUCCUGUGGCCAUGGGCAGAACAGUUGCCAUACCAAGCUGCGAUUCCACAUUACCUCUCCUCGUCACCCUCUAUCUAUCCAUCCAUCCCCUCCUCCACCUUUACCUACACUUAAGACUAGUAACUGCCAACAGCUCAGUAACCAGACAGGCUGUUGUUGGAUGUCUUGGGAAACCAGAGCACCUGGAGGACUUGCAAAUUCCACACAGACAGCUACAGAAGUCAGGACUGAAUCCAGGGUCCUGGAGCUGAGUACAGUCUGCUGCACAACCACACUGUCCCUAAGAUACAGCAGAGGGAAAUGAAACAGAACCAAUAUUCUCUCCAUCUUUUAACAGCUGAGCGCACCAACCAUUGCUUUGAGUAGGAGAGUAGGAUUUGUUUAUUUUUAUACAGCCUGAAAGUCGCACUGCACUUUAUAUCAAAAAAAAAUCCAGCUGAGUGGCUACAAAGGUUAUGUGCGUGGGAGCAUUUUAGUUACUGUGUGGCCACGCACCCUGAAGGGAAGUACUAGAACAGUCAGAAAUAUAUAGUAGCAGAGAUUGAUUGGGAAGGCCACGCCCCAGAUUAAUGAGGUAGCAAAAAAUAGAGACAGAAGUAUAGACACAAAUCAGCCAGGUAAGGUUAAUUGGCUGCUGUUAAUUGCCGUUUGUGUGUAGAUAGAGGGUAGAUUCUGGGGGAAAAUUUGUGAGACUGGAGAAUAAAAUGGGAUUAUGGUAGGAGUGCAAAAAGGUGUUUGACAGUCAGUGUGGACCUAUUGGGCCAAUAUAGCUGUUUCCAAACUAUAUUAAAAACUAGGACGGAAAUCUUUGGUUCGACCACACUUCAGUGGACUUGCACGUUCUCUUUGACAGGUGGUGACUGUGGAAUUCAUUGGCACAGACAUCUGUGAAGGCCAAGUCAUUGGGUAUAUUUAAAGUGGAGAUUGAUAGAUUGUUAAGGUGUCAAACAGGUCUGAGAGAGGGCAGAAGAAUGGGGUGGAAAGGGAAAAUAAAUCGGACAUUGGAAUGGCAGAGCAGACUCGAUAGUGAAUUACCUUAAUCUGCUCCUCUGCCUUAUGAUCUGAUGGAUUGCAUAGGAUUCUCUCAGGUGCUCUGGUUUCUUCCCACAACUUAAGUGCAGUUGGGUUAACAAUUGUAAGAUGCUGAGUGUGUGGCUUGGUGGUAGAAUCUGGGGAUAGUGGAUGAAAAUACUGGGCAAGUAACAUGAAGGAGGUCAUCACUUGUCUCAACCCUCCCCUUCACAUCUUUAUGCUAUCUCCCUUUUAUCUUUGUCAACUUGGAAGGUCUCGACCCGAGUGUUAACUACCCAUUUCCCUCCAUAGAUGCUGUCCGAUCCACUGAACUCCUCCAGCUGUUUCUUUGAUGCACCAGAUUCCAGAAUCUGCAAUCCCGGUUUCCAACAGAGGGAUAUAGACCACAUGAUGCGACUUACAGAAUGCACACCUCCUCCAUCAGCAUGAUGAGCUUUACAAAUGGCCAAUGUCCAAUUCUAGCACCUGGGACAAUAAAACCUCAAUCUCUCAAAAGAGUGAUAAUUACACAGUGCUCAAGAACAGAGUGAGCUACCUCAACUACUAUUGCCCAAUUGCAUUCACAUUUACUGUGAUUAAGCGCUUUGAGAAGUUGGUCAUGGACAAAACAGUUGAACCUGGACCUGCUGCAAUUUGCCCGUCACCACAAUAGGUCAACAGCGGAUGCAAUCUCACCGGCUCUCCACUUGGCUCGGAUCACCUGGACAAUGGUAAUACCUACCUUAAGCUGGCUGUUUGAUUACAACUCAGCAUUCAACACAAUCAUACCCUCCUUUCUAAUCAACUUGCUUCAAAACCUGGGCCUUUGUACCUCCCUCUGAAACUGGAUCUUCGACUUCCUCGCCAGGAGACCACAGACUAUCAGAAAUAACAUCUCCUCACUGACUAUCUACACUCACAACUGUGUGGCUAGGUGCACCUCAAAUGGCAUCUAUAAAGUUGCUGAUGACAACUAUUGUUGGUAGAAUUUCAGAUGGCGAUGAGGCAGCAUACAGGAACAGAACAGACCAGCUGGUUGAGUGGUGUUACAAAUCAACCUUUCACUCAACAUCAGUCGACCAAGUUUCUGAAAAAUGGUCUACAAACCGUUUCUCAGCUUCUGGUUUUAAUUAGACUAAAAAGAUUUGAAGGAACACAGAACCAUUAGAUUCCGUAGGUGCUGGAGGAACUCAGUAAGUCAGGCAGCAUCUAUGGAGCAGAAUAUAAAGUUGGCAUUUUGGGCCAAGAUAGGGUUUUGGCCAGAAACAGUGACUCCAUAGCUGUUAUCUGAUCUGCUGAGUUUCUCCAGCAUUGCCACACAAAUCUGAGCUCAGGAAAGGCACACUAAUGUCAGUCUUCAUCUGAAACAUUAAUACAAUGAGCAGAAUUAGGCAAUUUGGUCCAUUGAGUCUGCUCCGUUAUUUCAUCAUGGCUGAUCCAAUUUUCCUCAGCUCCAAUCUCCUGCCUUCUUCCCACAUCCCUUCAUGCCCUGACCAAUCAAGAGUAUCAAACUCUGCCUUAAAUAUAACUUGCCCUCCACAGCUGCCUGUGGCUAAGAUUAACCACUCUCUGGCUGAAGAAAUUCCUCCUCAUCUCCAUUCUAAAAGGAUGCCAUACUAUUCUGAGGCUGUGCCCCUUGGUCUUAAGACUCUCCCAACACAGGAAACAUCCGCUCCACAUCCACUAUAUCACGGUCUUUCAUUAAUCAAUAGGUUUCAAUGAGGUCACCCCUCAUUCUUCUGAACUCUGGUGAAUACAGGCCCAGAACCAUCAAACACUCUUCAUACGACAAACCAUUCAAUUCUGGAAUCAUUUGCGAACCUUCCUUGAACCCUCUCCCAUUUCAGCAGGGGCUCAAACCUACCCUCAAUACUCCAAGUGAGGCCUCAGUCCUUUAAAAAGUUUCAACAUUACAUCCUUGCUUUUAUAUUCUAGUCCUCUUGAAAUAGAUGCUAACAUUGCAUUUGCAUUCUUCAUCAGACUCGACCAGCAAAUUAACUUUUGGGGAAUUCUUCAUGAGGACUCCCAAAUCCCCCUUGCAUCUCAGUUUUGUUUUGUAUUCUUUCCAUUUAGAAAAUAGUCAGCCCUUUCAUUUCUUCUACCAAAGUGCAUGACCAUACACUUCCUGACACUGUAUUCCAUCCACCAUUUUGUUGCCCUUUCUCCGAAUCCAAGUCUUUCUGUAGCUUGUCUACAUCCUCAAAACUACCUGCCCCUACACCUAGCUUCCUAUGGUCUGCGAACUUUGCAACAGAGCUAUAAAUUCCAUCAUCCAAAACAUUGACAUGUAUUGCUAGAACUGGUCCCAGCAGACCCCUGUGGAACAUCAUUGGUCACCAGCAGCCAAACAGAAAAAGCUCCCUUUAUUCCCACUCUUUGUAUCCUGCCAAUUAGCCACUGUUUUAUUCAUUCUAGAGUUAUUCCUGUAAUAUGAUGGUAGCUUGUUAAGCAGCCUCAUGGAUUUUCAGAAGGCCUUUGACACACAAUACACAGCAUCAACUGAUUCUCCUUUGUCUAUCCUGCUUGUUACUUCUUUAAAGAAUUGCAGCAGAUUUGUCAGACAAGAUUUUCUCUUGAGGAAACCAUGCUAUGGCCCACUUUAUCACGUGCCUCCUAAUACCCCAAAACCUCAUCCUUAAUAAUUGACUCCAAUAUCUUGCUUUCCAGUGAGGUCAGACUAACUAGCCUAUCUCCGCCUCUCCCUUCUUGAAGAGUGAAGAGACAUUUGAUGCUGAAGGAACAUGUAAAUUGCUAGGCUUGUUAGAAGCACACUGGAAGCCAGAACUGCUUGGGCUUUAAGGCAUUGGAGAAAAAUUAGGCUAUCAAGUCUGCUCCAUCCUUUGAUCAUGGCUGAUCUUCCCCCUUAACCCCAUUCUCCUGCCUCCUCCCAUAACUUUUGAUGCCCUUCAAAUCAAGAACUUCUAUUUUAAAUAUACCCAAUGGCAUCGUCUCCACAGUCAUCUGUAGCCCAUGCAUUCCAUAUAUUUGACACAGCCUGCCUAAAUAAAUUCCUCAUCUCUGUUCCAAGGGGGUGUCCUUGUAUAAUGAUGUUGUGCCCCCUAAGACUCUCCCACUAUUGGAACAUCCUCUCCAUGUCCAUUCUAUCUUGGCCUUUCAAUAUUCAAUGAGGCCCUGUACAGUACCAGCACAUAUUUCCUUACAUAAGGCAACCAAAGUCUGUAUUUCUAUACUGGUGUGGAGCUUGGACUUGCAUCUUCACAGAUCCAGCUUGGUACAAGAUCAAUCAGGAAGACGUUGUCAAAACACUUUCACAGUGGCAUGCAAAAGUUUGGGCACCCCUGGUCAAAAUUUCUGUUACUGUGAAGUGAGUAGAAGAUGAACUGAUCUCCAAAAGUCAUAAAAGUUAAAGAUGAGACAUUCAACAUUUUAAACAAGAUUAGUGUAUUAGUUUUGUUUUGUACAAUUUUAGAGUGAAAAAAAAGGAAAGGAGUACCAUGCAAAAGUUUGGGCACCCCAAGAGAUUUGAUCUCUCAGAUAACUUUUACCAAGAUCUUAGACCUUAAUUAACUUGUUAAAGCUAUUAAUGUCAUUAGGAAAGGCCAGGUGAUGCAAAUUUCAAAGCUUUAUAAAUACCCUGACUCCUCAAACCUUGUCCCAACAAUCAGCAGCCAUUGGCUCCUCUAAGCAGCUGUCCAGCACUCUGAAAAUUAAAAUAAAUCAUGCCCACAAAGCAGAAGGAUAUGGGACAGGGAGGGGAAAGGGAGGCAUUUAUAUCAAAUACAAAAAAGUGUUGCAGGUACUAGGGUAGGAAGUAGAUACAGAAGAGAGGAAAUUGUGUGGACUAGGUUAAGGCUGGGGCACUGUGCACUAAACCAAACACUGAAAUUGAUAGGGAAACACCAGACAGGACUGUGUGCGGAAUGUCAGGAAGAGGAGUCAGUAGAACAUGUAGUUCUGAGUUGCAGGAAGUAUGGGAUACAGAGAGAGAUGAUGAGAAUUAAUCUAAGGGAAUUGGGGGUGCAGGAAGUCACAUUAAAAGGGUUGCUGGGCAUGGGUGAGAGAACACAGGUCAGGGUAUUUUUAGCUUUCUUAAGGGGUACAGGGGUUUUUAAUAGGAUAUGAUGGAUAAACAGAAAUAGGGUACUAGGAUGGGGAGGAUAAAGUGUAGGUUAGGAUAUGUGUAUGUGUGCGAUUGGGUGAAGGGAUUUAGAAUGUGAGUCCAUCGCAUACUCCAGAACAGAAGGAGGCGGUAAUGCACCAUUAAGCUGGGUGCCAACCGCCGUAAAACAAGAUGGAGAGAGAGAGGGAGCAGAAGGAUAUAAAAUAGCAAAGCAUUUUUAGGUAGCCGUUUCCUCAGUUUGUAACGUAAUUAAGAAAUGUCAGUCAACAGGAACGGUGGAAGUCAAGUUGAGGUCUGGAAGACCAAGAAAACUUUCCAAACAGAACUGUUCGUAGGAUUGCUAGAAAGGCAAAUCAAAACCCCCGUUUGACUGCAAAAGACCUUCAGGAAGAUCUAGCAGACUCUGGAGUGGUGGUGCACUGAUCUACUGUGCGACACCUGCACAAAUAGGACCUUCAUUUGAAGAGUCAUCAGAAGAAAACCUUUCCUGUGUCCUCACCACAAAAUUCAGCUUCAGAAGUUUACAAAGGACCAUCUAAACGAGCCUGAUGCAUUUUGGAAACAUGCAUCAUGUUUCUGAUGACUGAUGAAGUUAAAAUAGAGCUUUUUGGCCGCAAUUAGCAAAGGUAUACUUGGAGAAAAAAGGGUGCAGAAUUUCAUGAAAAGAACACCUAACUGUUAAGCACGGGGGUGGAUCGAUCAUGCUUUGGGCUUGUGUUGCAGCCAGUGGCAUGGGGCACAUUUCACUGGUAGAGGGAAGAAUUAAUUCAAUUAAAUACCAGCAAAUUCUGGAAGCAAACAUCACACCAUCUGUUAAAAAAAAAGCUGAAGGUGAAAAGAGGAUGCUGAUCAUAAACACACCUCAAAAUCCACAAUGGAAAAUCUCAAGAGGUGCAAGCUGAAGGUUUUGCCUUGGCCCUCAGUGUCCCUCAACCUAAACAUCAUCACAAAUCUGUGGAUAGACCUCAAGAGCAGUGCACACAAGAUGGCCCAAGAAUCUCACAGAGCUAGAAGCCUUUUGCAAGGCAGAAUGGGCAAAAAUCCCCCAAAGAAUUUAAAGACUUUUAGCCAGCUACAGAAAGUGUUUACAAGCUGUGAUACUUGCCAAAGGGAGUGUUACUAAGUACUGACCAUGCAGGGUGCCCAAAAUUUUGCUUUGGGCCCUUUUCCUUUUGUUAUUUUGAAACUGUAAAAGAUGGAAAUAAAAAAAGUAACCUUGCUUAAAAUAUUAAAGAAAUGUGUCAGCUUUAACUUUAUGCCUUUUGGAAAUCAGGUAAUCUUUUACUCACUUAGCUAUUCACAGCAACAGAAAUUUUGACCAGGGGGGCCCAAACUUUUGCAUGCUAGUGUAUUUAUAAAGUCUGAAUUCAAAGCCAACAGGUGUUGGAGAGGAACAAACACUGCUGUGUGGUUUAGUCACUGUCAACACAUAUGGGAAUGCAUAGAAAUUCCAUUUAUUCCAAACUGGAACCGAGAACUUAUAGAAAGAAAUCCUGAAACAUAUUACACUCAGCAAGAGAAGGCAUUGAAAUAUCAGCACAGCAGAGGGACGUCAGUUUCUUCUGAACGUGUGAGGACUCUGUACAACUCAUGGAAUUUCUACUGGUAGGAGCAGGGAGGCACCGAGGGCCAACACUGUAAAAUUAACUCAGUAAUACCACGUGCACUUCUCUCACCUGCCUUUCUAUAAGCAUCCUGCACUCCCGUGCCUACUCUGGGUUAGGGAGCCAGAGAAAGAAGUGUCCCAGUUAUGGAAGACAUAACUACACAACUGAACAGAAGACAGUGAAGGGGAAAAGGUACACAUUUUCAUGCCCUCAGCUGCCGAAUACUUGCUCCAGACUCACCCUGUAGACACAUGGAAACUCUUAAUUUAUUCAGCCUAACACUGAGGGAAAAAGCCUGUGAUUUAGAGUAAUUAAAUGAAGUUAAUCUACAAGCAGGCUCAGACUCUCCAAAACCGCUGGGCUAUGGACAAAGUUAACCCAUACUUUCAAUAAAUUUGCUGGGAAAAAAAUUCAGCCAUUAGAACCUACAGAGUUUAGCGCAUGUACUGGCACCUACAAAGCAGUAGAUGGCCUCUAUCUCCACACAUGACGGGCGUGGGAAAUCACCCUGGGAAUAAGUAACUUUGCCAUUGAAACAUCACACGGUAGCCACUCAGAGUCCAUCUUAGUUAGCUGAUUAUUCCGGUAGGGCACAGCACAACUCUAGAUCUUUUCUUGACACACUUUUCUCAGAAUUGUUAACAGAAGUCACCCUCACCAUCUUCUCCGCCCCUAACUGGGUCAGCUGUACCAAGGUCUACCACAGUGUUUAAGCUCAGAAACGAGGUUUACCAGAGCUUGAACCAGCAGAAAACCAGAAAAUAUUCCUGGUUUGUCAGAUUUAAUAACUAUUAGUACAGUUUUUGUUUAAAUAUAUAUAAAACAAAUUCACCCCAGGCGUUUGUUCCCCCUUUCAAUUGGGGGGUGGGGGGGUUGGUGGAAGUAAAUGACACAUCAAUACAACACUCACACAAAGAACAC